rnacentral:misc_RNA from 1 species
GAUGAAGAACGUAGCGAAAUGCGAAAAGUAGUGUGAAUUGCAGAAUUCAGUGAAUCAUCGAAUCUUUGAACGCACAUUGCGCCCCUUGGUAUUCCAAAGGGCAUGCCUGUUCGAGCGUCAUUUGUACCCUCAAGCUUUGCUUGGUGUUGGGCGUCUUGUCUCUAGCUUUGCUGGAGACUCGCCUUAAAGUAAUUGGCAGCCGGCCUACUGGUUUCGGAGCGCAGCACAAGUCGCACUCUCUAUCAGCAAAGGUCUAGCAUCCAUUAAGCCUUUUUUUCAACUUUUGACCUCGGAUCAGGUAGGGAUACCCGCUGAACUUAAGCAUAUCAAUAAGCGGAGGA